rnacentral:lncRNA from 1 species
CAGCACAGCUUGCUGCAGGAUGUUCUAUGUUCUAAGAUAACAUUUAACUACCGUUGAUUUGUGGUGUUAAGACCCAGUGGCGUGGGUUGAGAACACGUUUUAGGUUUAUUAUCAUUACUAGAACAGCAGCAGUCACACAUGGCAAAGGCAUUCAAAUAAACGAGAUAUAGGCUACUUCAGGGCUUCGUUAUCUACUAGUGCUGUAUUGCUUUCGUUUCUACAAAGGAACCCAGAGUAUUGUUGUGGCUUUGAAUAACUACACAUUUCGAGGUGACGGGGUCCUAGCCGUCAAUCACACCUUUACAUUGCCCACAAUUCUCAGAAACGAAAGAAAUCUAAUCAAAUCUGAGUCGGGUCGUCACGGGGACAGAGAGGAAGACGCAACGACUUAAACAACGCAAACAUCUGAACCCUCCUCUGGCUCCUGCUCUACGGUGAGUUUACACUUAAGGACUCACAAGUUCUCCGUCAAUUUAAAUUAGAAUGUUAAGUUUCUUUAUUUCAUUACAACUUUUAGUUUGAAAAGUUUUGUUGACAUUAGGUCGCCCAAGUCUAUUUGAAAUUAAAAUACUAUUUAUUAUAUUGACAACUUACUAUUAUUUUUUAUUAUUUAAAGGCCUAUAUGAUUCCAUUAAUUAAGUUUAUUUAAUUAAUUAAGAUUUGUCAGAGUCAUUUAGGCAUUGAACUAGAAAAUAACCGUUAACAGUGAUGAAUUGAAUUUACACCAACUAAAUUAAGCAAUAUUCCAUGAGUUAAAACACUAUCUAUCACUAUUACUGUGAAAGUAUCAAACACCAUAGAAUGGAAUGUAUAAGAAAAUGUAUAGACAGAGGGCCAUGUAUGGACGAAUACACAGCUGCUCAUUACUAUGCAUUAAAGAUGCUUUUUAAGAGAGGCCUCUUUGAUAAUCACUGCAUAAGCCUCCAUAUUCAUAAAACAGACGAACACGAAGCGUGAGUCGAAAGUCAGAUGAACGGGUUGAUCCGGGAGAUCUGCAGGUGUGUGCAGAUAACUGCUGAACUCAUCAACCCACCAAACCUCAUCCCCCUUCCCACCAACGGAUCACAGCAGCAGGUGCUGGACCCGGCCAUCAUGCCCCGCUCCUUCCUCGUGAAGCCUACCGGACGCCGCGCGCUCCGUGACUCUGUUGACCGAGCCGAUCACGAGCGUGCGGACCCGGAGCCCCGGUGUGCGCGCGGACAGAUGCUCGUCCCUGUGUUUGACGUGCCUCCCGCCGCGACGGGGGGGCCUGGGGCAGAGUGGGGCCCGUCACAACCCUGGACUCAAAUGGAUACCAGACCGACCAGAACCGAAAGGACCGACCGGACCGCCUCGGCGAACUGGCCCGGUGAGUCCCCCGGUUCAAUGCAGUGAGAUUGUUCCAAAGCACUAACAUCAGGGAAAUCAUAUGAUGGAUGAUGUUAGGAUCAUAGGAGGAUGUUCCUGACCUUACUGCUUCGGUUCUGCUUGAAUCCCUUUCUUCUUCUAAAUAAGAAAGAGAAAGGCAAACUUUGCUCAAUUUUCG